CGCGACUGCGGCGCCCUCUUCUCGCCGUACCACCAGCCGCAGGCGCCGGCGUUCCGGCCGCCGGCGCCCCACCCCGAGCUGGGCUCGUGUCAGUCGCGGUCGACGGCCGGUCUGUACGCGCCGCAGUUCAUGGACCACCUCGGCUUCCACGACUCGUCCAGCCAGCUCAGCCAGGAUGAGGCCCGCAGACGCCAUCGACAACAGCAGCAGCAACAUCAACAGCAGCGCCAGCAUCAGCAGCAGCAACCGUAUCCGUUUUAAGGACACGCCCGGGCCCGUCCUGUGAAUAUGUCCGCCAAGUGUAUAUAGAUACAUCAUUGGCUUGUAUUAUGGGCCCGAUGACUGAGAGCAAGCUCGGUAGACUGUGCCACCACUGCAGCUGCGUUGCGGCAUCUAUACAACCAUUUCUAUGAGACAAUAUAUGUUAUUUUGUUG